GGGUUGUGAGGUUAAGCGACCAAGCGUACACGGUGGAUGCCCUGGCAGUCAGAGGCGAUGAAGGACGUGCUAAUCUGCGAAAAGCGCCGGUAAGGUGAUAUGAACCGUUAUAACCGGCGAUGUCCGAAUGGGGAAACCCAGUGUGACUCGUCACACUAUCAUUAACUGAAUCCAUAGGUUAAUGAGGCGAACCGGGGGAACUGAAACAUCUAAGUACCCCGAGGAAAAGAAAUCAACCGAGAUUCCCCCAGUAGCGGCGAGCGAACGGGGAGGAGCCCAGAGCCUGAAUCAGCAUGUGUGUUAGUGGAAGCGUCUGGAAAGGCGCGCGAUACAGGGUGAGAGCCCCGUACACAAAAGCGCAUAUGCUGUGAGCUCGAUGAGUAGGGCGGGACACGUGGUAUCCUGUCUGAAUAUGGGGGGACCAUCCUCCAAGGCUAAAUACUCCUGACUGACCGAUAGUGAACCAGUACCGUGAGGGAAAGGCGAAAAGAACCCCGGCGAGGGGAGUGAAACAGAACCUGAAACCGUGUACGUACAAGCAGUGGGAGCCUCUCUUUAUGGGGGGUGACUGCGUACCUUUUGUAUAAUGGGUCAGCGACUUAUAUUCUGUAGCAAGGUUAACCGCAUAGGGGAGCCGAAGGGAAACCGAGUCUUAAUUGGGCGUUAAGUUGCAGGGUAUAGACCCGAAACCCGGUGAUCUAGCCAUGGGCAGGUUGAAGGUUGGGUAACACUAACUGGAGGACCGAACCGACUAAUGUUGAAAAAUUAGCGGAUGACCUGUGGCUGGGGGUGAAAGGCCAAUCAAACCGGGAGAUAGCUGGUUCUCCCCGAAAGCUAUUUAGGUAGCGCCUCGUGAACUCAUCUCCGGGGGUAGAGCACUGUUUCGGCUAGGGGGCCAUCCCGGCUUACCAACCCGAUGCAAACUGCGAAUACCGGAGAAUGUUAUCACGGGAGACACACGGCGGGUGCUAACGUCCGUCGUGAAGAGGGAAACAACCCAGACCGCCAGCUAAGGUCCCAAAGUCAUGGUUAAGUGGGAAACGAUGUGGGAAGGCCCAGACAGCCAGGAUGUUGGCUUAGAAGCAGCCAUCAUUUAAAGAAAGCGUAAUAGCUCACUGGUCGAGUCGGCCUGCGCGGAAGAUGUAACGGGGCUAAACCAUGCACCGAAGCUGCGGCAGCGACACUUUAGUGUUGUUGGGUAGGGGAGCGUUCUGUAAGCCGUUGAAGGUGUCCUGUGAGGGGUGCUGGAGGUAUCAGAAGUGCGAAUGCUGACAUAAGUAACGAUAAAGCGGGUGAAAAGCCCGCUCGCCGGAAGACCAAGGGUUCCUGUCCAACGUUAAUCGGGGCAGGGUGAGUCGACCCCUAAGGCGAGGCCGAAAGGCGUAGUCGAUGGGAAACGGGUUAAUAUUCCCGUACUUGGUGUUACUGCGAAGGGGGGACGGAGAAGG
rnacentral:rRNA from 1 species